rnacentral:rRNA from 1 species
AUUGAACGCUGGCGGCAUGCUUUACACAUGCAAGUCGAACGGUAACAGGCCUCAAGGUGCUGACGAGUGGCGAACGGGUGAGUAAUGCAUCGGAACGUGCCCAUUCGUGGGGGGUAACUACUCGAAAGAGUAGCUAAUACCGCAUACGAUCUAUGGAUGAAAGCGGGGUACCGUAAGGCCUCGCUCGAUUGGGGCUGCCGAUGUCAGAUGAGGUCGUUGUGGGGUAAAGGCUCACCAAGCCAACGAUCUGUAGCUGGUCUGAGAGGACGACCAGCCACACUGGGACUGAGACAAGGCCCAGACUCCUAAGGGAGGCAGCAGUGGGGAAUUUUGGACAAUGGGCGGAAGCCUGAACCAGCAAAGCCGCGGGCAGGAAGAAGGCCUUCGGGUUGUAAACUGCUUUUGUACGGAACGAAACGGCUCUGGUUAAUACCCGGGGCUAAUGACGGUACCGUAAGAAUAAGCACCGGCUAACUACGUG